ACCCGCUGAACUUAAGCAUAUCAAUAAGCGGAGGAAAAGAAACCAAUAGGGAUUGCCUCAGUAACGGCGAGUAAAGCGGCAAUAGCUCAAAUUUGAAAUCUAGCGCAAGCCCGAGUUGUAAUUUGUAGAGGAUGCUUCGGGGCAGCGGCCGGUCUAAGUUCCUUGGAAUAGGACGUCAUAGAGGGUGAGAAUCCCGUAUACGACCAGUUAGCACCCUAUACGUAGCUCCUUCGACGAGUCGAGUUGUUUGGGAAUGCAGCUCUAAAUGGGAGGUAAAUUUCUUCUAAAGCUAAAUACCGGCCCGUCUUAAAACACGGACCAAGGAGUCUAACAUCUAUACGAGUGUUUGGGUGUUAAACCCCUACGCGGAAUAAAAGUGAACGGAGGUAGGAACCGCAAGGUGCACCAUCGACCGAUCCUGAUAUCUUCGGAUAGAUUUAAGUAAGAGCAUAGCUAUUAGGACCCGAAAGAUGGUGAACUAUGCCUGAAUAGGGUGAAGCCAGAGGAAACUCUGGUAGAGGCUCGUAGCGGUUCUGACGUACAAAUCGAUCGUCAAACUUGGGUACAGGGGCGAAAGACUAAUCGAACCAUCUAGUAGCUGGUUCCUACCGAAGUUUCCCUCAGGA
rnacentral:rRNA from 1 species